rnacentral:rRNA from 1 species
CCUACGGGUGGCAGCAGUGAGGAAUAUUGGUCAAUGGACGCAAGUCUGAACCAGCCAUGCCGCGUGCAGGAAGACGGCUCUAUGAGUUGUAAACUGCUUUUGUACGAGGGUAAACGCAGAUACGCGUCUCUGUCUGAAAUUACCGUACGAAUAAGGAUCGGCUAACCCCGCGCCAGCCGCCGCGGUAAUACGGUGGAUUCAAGCGUUAACCGGACUUAUUGGGUUUAAAGGGGGCGUCGGGGGUCGGAUAAGUUAGAUGUGAAAUCCAGAGGCUCAACUUUGGAAGUGCCUUUGAUACUGUGCGGCUAGAGAGUAGUUGCGGUAGGCGGAAUGUAUGGUGUAGCGGUGAAAUGCUUAGAGAUCAGACAGAACACCGAUUGCGAAGGCAGCUUACCAAGCUACUUCUGACGUUGAGGCACGAAAGCGUGGGGAGCAAACAGGAUUAGAUACCCCAGUAGUC